CGCCGCGUGCGGGAUGAAGGCCUUCGGGCUGUAAACCGCUUUCAGCAGGAACGAAAAUGACGGUACCUGCAGAAGAAGGAGCGGCCAACUACGUGCCAGCAGCCGCGGUGACACGUAGGCUCCAAGCGUUGUCCGGAUUUAUUGGGCGUAAAGAGCUCGUAGGCGGUUGAGUAAGUCGGGUGUGAAAACUCUGGGCUUAACCCGGAGACGCCAUCCGAUACUGCUCUGACUAGAGUUCAGGAGGGGAGUGGGGAAUUCCUAGUGUAGCGGUGAAAUGCGCAGAUAUUAGGAGGAACACCGGUGGCGAAGGCGCCACUCUGGACUGAAACUGACGCUGAGGAACGAAAGCAUGGGUAGCAAACAGGAUUAGAUACCCUGGUAGUCCAUGCGGUAAACGGUGGGCACUAGGUGUGGGUUUCUAUUAACGAAAUCCGCGCCGUCGCUAACGCAUUAAGUGCCCCGCCUGGGGAGUACGGUCGCAAGACUA
rnacentral:rRNA from 1 species